GGUUGAGUUUAAGGGAGCUGGGCAGCCCUGGAGGUAAAGGACUAGGGCUCAGGGCAGAAAGCCCGUCUGGCCUGAAGUGGCUAAGACCUUGGGAGCCUCCUGCACAGAGAGGGAGGCUCUGGGGGAGGAAAAAGGGAGGAGACACAGAGCUGAGACUAAACUUUCUGGGCCACCUGCAUCUAAGAGGUGACGGGAAGAAGAGGGUUUGGUGAGGAGGCACAUGAAGAAGAGGAGGUGAGCAAGCCCCCUGAACGCCACGGAAACAACAGGGAGGAAGAAUUUCAGAAAGCAGAAAGGGGACCAUCAGCGAUGCCAAUGGCUGCAGGGAGGCCCAGAAGAAAUACCUCAAUUCUCUACUUGAUAUUGCUGGGGAGCUCCAGUGCAGAGGUAAGGAUAUUCUCCAAAAGCACCCAAAGACGGUAAGUGGCCAAGGAGGAAAAGCUCAGAAGAUAAACUUACAGGAAGGACCAGGGCUGAUGGCGUGCCCCGUUCCUCCAGGGGUGAAGUGCAGAGGAAGAUCAAUGG